rnacentral:rRNA from 1 species
CACCUACGGGUGGCAGCAGUGGGGAAUAUUGGACAAUGGGCGAAAGCCUGAUCCAGCAAUGCCGUGUGUGUGAAGAAGGCCUGCGGGUUGUAAAGCACUUUAAGUUGGGAAGAAAAGCUGACGGUUAAUACCCGUGAGUGUUGACGUUACCAACAGAAUAAGCACCGGCUAACUCUGUGCCAGCAGCCGCGGUAAUACAGAGGGUGCAAGCGUUAAUCGGAAUUACUGGGCGUAAAGGGUGCGUAGGCGGUCUCUUAAGUCGGAUGUGAAAUCCUUGGGCUCAACCUAAGAAUUGCAUACGAUACUGAAAGACUAGAGUACAGUAGAGGAUAGUGGAAUUCCACGUGUAGCGGUGAAAUGCGUAGAUAUGUGGAGGAACACCAGUGGCGAAGGCGGCUAUCUGGACUGAUACUGACGCUGAGGCACGAAAGCGUGGGGAGCAAACAGGAUUAGAUACCCUGGUAGUCCACGCCCUAAACGAUGGGAACUAGCUGUUGGGAGAAAUUAAUCUCUUAGUAGCGAAGCUAACGCGUUAAGUUCCCCGCCUGGGGAGUACGGUCGCAAGAUUAAAACUCAAAUGAAUUGACGGGGGCCCGCACAAGCGGUGGAGCAUGUGGUUUAAUUCGAUGCAACGC